AAUAGGUUCAUCUAAUAACAUCAGUUUUUAUUAUGAAACAGUUCCUCUCAUUACUCCUCCUGUAUCAGUGGUACCAGUAAC